rnacentral:tRNA from 1 species
GGAGAAGUCGCGUAGCUGGUCGAGCGCGCACGAUUGGAAAUCGUGUAACGGUCAUAAGCCGUUCGAGAGUUCGAAUCUCUCCUUCUCCGCCA